UACGUAGGGUGCAAGCGUUAUCCGGAUUCACUGGGCUUAAAGGGUGUGUAGGCGGGCUGUUAAGUCAGUGGUGAAAUCUCCGGGCUCAACCCGGAAACUGCCAUUGAUACUAUCAGUCUUGAAUAUUGUUGAGGUGGGCGGAAUAUGUCAUGUAGCGGUGAAAUGCAUAGAGAUGACAUAGAACACCGAUUGCGAAGGCAGCUCGCUGGGACGUUACUGACGCUGAGACGCGAAAGCGUGGGGAGCAAACAGG
rnacentral:rRNA from 1 species